rnacentral:lncRNA from 1 species
UCAGAAAAUAUUUAAAAAUUAGAAACAGCCUAUUUCCUGGGAUAGAGAAGUUGACUAGGCAGAGUUCCACUAGGUCCUAAUGACAGAGCCACGGAGUCAGUGAUAGACUCCUUGUGUAAGCACUAAAUGAAGUUAUAUAUAUGAUCUUAUAGAAGCACUGCAGGACAGAAAAAAAGCAUGUUCCCUGUAUCUUUAUAUUUUCCAGGCCAAAUCAUUUGCGAGCACUAUGAAUUUUUUAAUUUGUUUUGGCUUUUCUUCAUUUUGCUAUUGUUAUUUUAAAAUACUGCAGGGCUCAAGACAUGGAAAUAGUUGAGGCAUUUCUCACGAACUCUAAGAUGCCUUAGAGAAAACCUAUAUUUUACAACAGAAAAUACUGCAACCACUGAGCGAAGGGCCGGAAGCCAUGCUAGGGCAGAAAUUCCCAAUAGCCUCACUCUCGAUCACCUCCCUAGAGUAUGACCACCGGCUUUCGCAGAUACUUAAACAUGAAGACUCAAACGAUGUGGAGUAUGUACGUAUCUCUGUGAAGUAACUACUUAAAAAGAUAGGCAAUCCAACAAAACCUCAAAACAGAAGCAUAAAAAUGGUCACCCAGGUUCAAAGAGGUAAGAAGAAGAGAACCAGCAUUUACUCUGCACCUACUAUGCACCAGAUACUCUACCAGGUUACUUACCUGUAUUAUCUUACUUGUGAAGGAGAACUGUCGCCAUUAGAAUAAUAAGGACACCAUGCUGCCAAAGAUCUUGCUCUGUUGACCAAACUGGAGCACACUGGCAUGAAUAUAGCUCACUGCAGCCUUGACCUCCUGAGUUCAAGCAAUCCUCC